AAAUUAAAAUGAAUACUAAAUGUAAUGUGAUGUAAAGGAUGUGCCGCUCUGUAGAAAGCAUUCUUUAUAUUUUAAUACAUGAAGUAUGGGCAGAUUCAUAUUUUAAAAUCUUAAUUAAUUUUCUUCUUAACUAAACAGUUAAAUCAUAAACAUUAUGCUUGGCAAUGACAUUACAAACAAACUUCUGAAAACAAAUCCAUACUCUUUAGUGUUCUCUUUCAGUUUAGUUUUAAUAGGAUGUCUUGGACCCAUGCUAAUUCCACCUCUACAUAUUUCAGUAGUUUACUACUUUUGGUCCAAUUAUAAUCGAGCAAUUAAUAAACAUCUAUGUUCAUGUUCGUGCUGGGAUUCCAUAUUUAAAGGACCAUAUGAAUCAGGAGUUGCCUCAUACAAACACGUGUAUUUUAAUUCAACUUCAAAUUCAUUCAAGAUAUGGACUCUGACAGUGACCUGCAUAAUUCUGCUUUACGAGUCGACUCGCCGCCUAACUAAACUCGUGCUACAGAAGCGAGUUCGUUACUCUAUGACUCUUCUCUUCGUUUCCUCGAUGUUCUCUCAUUACUACUCUUGGUGGAUGUUUUUCAACUACUGGAAUGAUGAGUAUUACUUUCAGUGGUACCAUCAGGUGUUCUUCUCGGUGACUGAAGUGGUAUCAUCCGCACAGGUCCUCCUUCUCGCUGACAGGCAGGUCGGCCUCACCGUAGCUAGAACUCUACCUGUUGUUACCAUCGCUUUCAUCCAUAUUCUCGCAUCCUGUUCAGAUCAAUUCUUCCACAACGUUUUACAGGGAGAAGGAUACUCUUAUCAGAGUUGAAGGUGGGUCUGUGUCUCUAGCAAUCCUGCACAUCUGACCUGUGUGGUCUAGAACUCCAAUAUUCAAUUCACCUGGCAACAGGUAGUCCGAGAUAUCGGCUUCAUGAUAUCAGAUCUUCUUCAUGUGAUGAUUCCACUGUGGCAUCUGAAGAAUCAGAAGCAGACCAACCGGAUUCAGAACAGAGAUUGGAUUUACUUCUUUCUGACUGUUAUCAUGG
rnacentral:misc_RNA from 1 species